rnacentral:tRNA from 1 species
UGAUGGUUCAGUGGUAGAAUUCUCAUCUUCCAUGUGAGAGACCUGGGUUUGAUUUCUGGUCA